GACGAACGCUGGCGGCGUGCUUAACACAUGCAAGUCGAGCGGUAAGGCCCUUUCGGGGGUACACGAGCGGCGAACGGGUGAGUAACACGUGGGUGACCUGCCCUCAGCUCUGGGAUAAGCCUGGGAAACCGGGUCUAAUACCGGAUAUGACUCCAUGACGCAUGUUGUGGGGUGGAAAGCCUUGCGCGGCUGGGGAUGGGCCCGCGGCCUAUCAGCUUGUUGGUGGGGUGANGGCCUACCAAGGCGACGACGGGUAGCCGGCCUGAGAGGGCGACCGGCCACACUGGGACUGAGACACGGCCCAGACUCCUACGGGAGGCAGCAGUGGGGAAUCUUGCGCAAUGGGCGAAAGCCUGACGCAGCGACGCCGCGUGAGGGAUGACGGCCU
rnacentral:rRNA from 1 species